rnacentral:rRNA from 1 species
CUUGAGGCGUGGCUUCCGGAGCUAACGCGUUAAAUCGACCGCCUGGGGAGUACGGCCGCAAGGUUAAAACUCAAAUGAAUUGACGGGGGCCCGCACAAGCGGUGGAGCAUGUGGUUUAAUUCGAUGCAACGCGAAGAACCUUACCUGGUCUUGACAUCCACAGAACUUAGCAGAGAUGCUUUGGUGCCUUCGGGAACUGUGAGACAGGUGCUGCAUGGCUGUCGUCAGCUCGUGUUGUGAAAUGUUGGGUUAAGUCCCGCAACGAGCGCAACCCUUAUCCUUUGUUGCCAGCGGUCCGGCCGGGAACUCAAAGGAGACUGCCAGUGAUAAACUGGAGGAAGGUGGGGAUGACGUCAAGUCAUCAUGGCCCUUACGACCAGGGCUACACACGUGCUACAAUGGCAUAUACAAAGAGAAGCGACCUCGCGAGAGCAAGCGGACCUCAUAAAGUAUGUCGUAGUCCGGAUUGGAGUCUGCAACUCGACUCCAUGAAGUCGGAAUCGCUAGUAAUCGUAGAUCAGAAUGCUACGGUGAAUACGUUCCCGGGCCUUGUACACACCGCCCGUCACACCAUGGGAGUGGGUUGCAAAAGAAGUAGGUAGCUUAACCUUCGGGAGGGCGCUUACCACUUUGUGAUUCAUGACUGGGGUGAAGUCGUAACAAGGUAACCGUAGGGGAACCUGCGGUUGGAUCACCUCCUU